CGCGGAGUGGAGCAGUUGGCAGCUCGUCGGGCUCAUAACCCGAAGGUCGCAGGUUCAAGUCCUGCCUCCGCAA
rnacentral:tRNA from 1 species